UACGUAGGGUCCGAGCGUUGUCCGGAAUUACUGGGCGUAAAGCGUGCGCAGGCGGUUUUGGAAGUUUGUCGUGAAAGCCCCGGGCUCAACCUGGGAAUUGCGAUGAAGACUGCAAGGCUUGAAUCUGGCAGAGGGGGGUAGAAUUCCACGUGUAGCAGUGAAAUGCGUAGAGAUGUGGAGGAACACCGAUGGCGAAGGCAGCCCCCUGGGUCAAGAUUGACGCUCAUGCACGAAAGCGUGGGGAGCAAACAGG
rnacentral:rRNA from 1 species